rfam:Leersia perrieri chromosome 9, whole genome shotgun sequence.
GGAGGAGGAGAAGAGCUCCCGUUCGAUCCAAUUCAGGAGAGGAAGUGGUUGGAGGCAGCUGCCGGUUCAUGGAUACCCCUGGAGUGCAUGGCAGCGUUGGCCUGCACUUACACGGGUUUGCAUGACCUGGGAGAUGAACUCACCAUUGUCUUCCUUUCAUGAUUGGAUUGAAGGGAGCUCUACACACCUCCCUC